rnacentral:rRNA from 1 species
AGGGAAUCUUCCGCAAUGGACGAAAGUCUGACGGAGCAACGCCGCGUGAGUGAAGAAGGCCUUCGGGUCGUAAAACUCUGUUGCCGGGGAAGAACAAGUGCCGUUCGAACAGGGCGGCGCCUUGACGGUACCCGGCCAGAAAGCCACGGCUAACUACGUGCCAGCAGCCGCGGUAAUACGUAGGUGGCAAGCGUUGUCCGGAAUUAUUGGGCGUAAAGCGCGCGCAGGCGGCUUCUUAAGUCUGAUGUGAAAUCUUGGGGCUCAACCGCAAGCGGUCAUUGGGAACUGGGAGGCUUGAGUGCAGAAGAGGAGAGUGGAAUUCCACGUGUAGCGGUGAAAUGCGUAGAGAUGUGGAGGAACACCAGUGGCGAAGGCGGCUCUCUGGUCUGUAACUGACGCUGAGGCAUGAAAGCGUGGGUAGCAAAC